rnacentral:misc_RNA from 1 species
CCGAGUUUACAACUCCCAAACCCAAUGUGAACGUUACCAAACUGCUGCCUCGGCGGGGUCACGCCCCGGGUGCGUAAAAGCCCCGGAACCAGGCGCCCGCCGGAGGAACCAACCAAACUCUUUCUGUAGUCCCCUCGCGGACGUAUUUCUUACAGCUCUGAGCAAAAAUUCAAAAUGAAUCA